rnacentral:siRNA from 1 species
GGUGAUUUGGUUAGAUAGGUU